GCACCCGGAGGAAACCUACGCAGACACGGGGAGAACGUGCAAACUCCACACAGUCAGUCGCCUGAGGCGGGAAUUGCUAUUUAGGAAGAUUGCUGUUUGGGAAAGAAAGUUAAUAACUAAAUUUAUAUAGUGGCAGUAUAUCAUUAUAAUUAUGUUGAUUGUAUCCAACAUAACACCUCAAAUGGUGGGAAAGCUACUCUAGAAGAGGUUAAAUUGUUGAGUUACAGUUUCUGUUGUUCACUUCAAAAAAUCAUGUGUUUUUAAAAAGAAAAGAAAACUAAAUCAUGUCACUGAAUGUAGAUAAAGGCUGCUGUCUCAUUGUCUACAUAUACAUCUCCAUCAAAGGGUCUAAGGGAGAUUUAUGUUGCUUCAGUGUUGUAAUGAGAAGUGUCCACUGUCAUGGAAAUUAAGUUGUAUUUAAUAAUCAGAGGGCUUGGGGUGUUUUUCAGCUGCAUAAUUCAGUAUAUAAAGGGAUAGUGAAUUUCAUUUAUUAGGAACUGAGUGACAUUAUAACUUGAAUCUAGACUGGGGGCUAUGUUUGGAUUUAAUGUGAUCAGAAUAUAUUUUGUACAAUUUUCUCAUGAAUGGCUUGUUAAUAAAUAUGGAUUUAUAAGAUUAUUGGCUGGUAUGUGUCAUGGUUUAACUAAUUUUUCAGAAGUACAAUACAGAUUAUUCAGUCUAUAAUAUGCUUAUUGAUGGAUUUUAAACCAUUUCCUGCAUUUCUUUUCUCCAUCCUGACCCUUCCAAAUUGUCAAAUUUUGAUUUUUUUUCUUUAACAAUCUUUCAUGGAAAAUGGGUAUUACUGGCAAGAUUGUCAACAUUUGUCUUCGAUCAUUAAUUAAAGCAUUGAUUGAUAAA